AACCAAAAUAAGACCAAUCGAGCUUCAACAAGAGGCGGGGUUGUCCACACCUCAGGCCGCAAGGCUCAUAUUGAUGUUGCGAUUGAGCUCAGCAAUAACCUUCAAAGAGAUUUACUUCCAGAUGAGUUAUUUUUGACAACCCACAAGAGAAAAAAUGGCGCUUGGGUUGAUAGUCGCGCAUAAUCUACCUAUGGAACAUUUAAAAAAAAAUUGGAGGAAGUACAAACACAAAUUGGCGAAACAAGUGAAGAAAGUGGUAAAGAGGUAGAUGGAGGGACAAUACUUAAGUUAUGGACUGAAUCUGCAGGGGGUCGCACUCGUGGUCGAGUUUAUGGUACAAGAGA